AAAAAAAUUCUCAAAAACUAAUUUAAUAAAUUUCCAAAAUUUUCCUACUAUACAGUAUACGCUACCAAAAUACUGAUCAGAAACAAGAAUAUAACAUACAAAAAAAAUCGGAAAAAAAUAAAAAAGAAAUUCCGACGAAAAACUUACAGCUCUUAGCAAAGAUCUCCUAUCCCUCUCCCGAGCAUUCUUGAUUGCCUAAAGCAGCAAACAAUUGCGAUAAAAAACCCCCCUGUUAUUUCCGAAUACGGCCUGAAUCUACCGCCGACUUCCUGCAAUCACACACACACACACAAAUCGGAGAAAUUAGAUAUACAGAAAUUACAGAGAGGCGAGGUUUUAGUGUGUGUUUUUCGGAAAGAGAGAAGGUGGUCGAAGACUCGAUCGGCAAAUGGAGGAGGAAAGCGAGACAAGUAAUGGCAUCGGCGGCCGGCGGGUGACGGAAUUUUUUUGCUGGGAUGGGUUUGCGAUGGCGGUGGCACAGUGGGCGAAUGUGUGAAGAAGACAAAAUAUUUUUUUAUUUUUUGUUUUCUUUGUUUUGUUUUUAUUUUCUAUUUUUUUUGUUUUUUUAAAGAAUAAUUUAUAUUUAAUAUUAAAGAUGUAAGUGAAUGGACGAAUAUACCCCUGCAAAUGUCACGUGCAAGGCACAUGUUUUAACUUUUC